rnacentral:rRNA from 1 species
UGGUCCUACGGGACGCAGCAGUAGGGAAUCUUCCACAAUGGGCGCAAGCCUGAUGGAGCAACACCGCGUGAGUGAAGAAGGGUUUCGGCUCGUAAAGCUCUGUUGUUGGAGAAGAACGUGCGUGAGAGUAACUGUUCACGCAGUGACGGUAUCCAACCAGAAAGUCACGGCUAACUACGUGCCAGCCGCCGCGGUAAUACGUAGGUGGCGAGCGUUAUCCGGAAUGAUUGGGCGUAAAGGGUGCGUAGGCGGCCUGCUAAGUCUGGGGUGAAAGGUACCGGCUCAACCGGUACAGGCUCUGGAAA